rnacentral:tRNA from 1 species
GGCAGCUCAGCUGGUUAGAGCACAUCACUCAUAAUGAUGGGGUCACAGGUUCGAAUCCCGUCGUAGCCACCA